GGGGGGGGGGGGGGGGGGGGGGGGGGGGGGGGGGGGGGGGGGGGGGGGGGCCCUGUCUCUCUGUCUGAGC
rnacentral:miRNA from 12 species